rnacentral:rRNA from 1 species
AUGUUUGAGUAUCUAAAUGUUGUCAGCAAGAUGUUUGAUAGUGAGGCUGAAGGCUAUGAAUUCUACAACAAAUAUGCUCUUGAAAAAGGUUUUAGUGUGAGGAAAAGCUACGUUGAGUGGGAUGGAUCCAACAAAUACAUAAUUUUAAGGAAAAUUGUGUGUAGUCGUCAAGGGUUUCGCAAAGAGAAGCACAUGAAAAGAAAGAUGGAAGAUAGAAAAAGGAGGCCACGAAGUUUAACUCGUGUUGGGUGUAAUGCUAAAUUGGUCAUUACGAGACAGGAGGAAACCGGUCGGUGGUUUGUCAAGGAUUUCAUCGAUGAGCACAGCCAUCCUCUAGUCCCACGGGAUCUUUCUUGUCUGCUGCGUUCGCACAAACGAAUAGCGAUGAGCAGAAAGCGGACAUUGCGGACAUGGAAAAAUGUGGGAUCCGCAAAUACCGUAUUAUGGAUAUUUUGUGCUUUCAAUACGAUGGAUUUGAUAAGGUUGGAUGCAUAA